AGGGUUUGAUCCUGGCUCAGAACGAACGUUGGCGGCGUGGAUUAGGCAUGCAAGUCGAACGAAUCCCUUUGGGGGUAACUCUGAAGGGGGAAGUGGCGAAAGGGGCAGUAAGGCGUGGGUAACCUACCCUGGGGAUCGGGAUAGCCGUCCUAACGGACGGGUAAUACCGGGCGAUGUAGCCGAGGCGCAUGUUUUGGCUAUGAGAUGAAUUUCGCCUCGGGAGGGGCUCACGUGAUAUUAGCUUGUUGGUAGGGUAACGGCCUACCAAGGCGAAGAUGUCUAGCGGGUGUGAGAGCACGACCCGCGCCACUGGCACUGAGACACUGGCCAGACUCCUACGGGAGGCUGCAGUCGAGGAUCUUCGGCAAUGGGCGCAAGCCUGACCGAGCGACGCCGCGUGAGCGAUGAAGGCCUUCGGGUUGUAAAGCUCUUUAGCAGGGGAGGAAGCCGAAAGGUUGACCUAUCCUGAAAAUAAGCACGGGCUAAGUUCGUGCCAGCAGCCGCGGUAAGACGAACCGUGCGAACGUUGUUCGGAAUCACUGGGCUUAAAGGGCGCGUAGGCGGGCUGUCAAGUCCGGGGUGAAAUCUUUCGGCUUAACCGGAAAAGUGCCUUGGAUACUGGCGGUCUCGAGGGAGGUAGGGGUAUGUGGAACUUCCGGUGGAGCGGUGAAAUGCGUUGAUAUCGGAAGGAACGCCGGUGGCGAAAGCGACGUACUGGACCUCUUCUGACGCUGAGGCGCGAAAGCUAGGGUAGCGAACGGGAUUAGAUACCCCGGUAGUCCUAGCCCUAAACGAUGGGUACUAGGUAGUGGACUUAUCAUGGGUUCACUGCCGAAGCAAAAGUGUUAAGUACCCCGCCUGGGGAGUAUGGUCGCAAGGCUGAAACUCAAAGGAAUUGACGGGGGCUCACACAAGCGGUGGAGCAUGUGGCUUAAUUCGAGUCUACGCGAAGAACCUUAUCCUAGGCUUGACAUGUUCGAAAGAGGUAGGAAGUAGCGAGCGGAAACGUUUCGCCAACGGUAUCCAAUCCGGAACCUACUACAGGUGCUGCAUGGCUGUCGUCAGCUCGUGUCGUGAGAUGUCGGGUUAAGUCCCAUAACGAGCGAAACCCUUGUCCCUAGUUGCCACCAGGUCAUGAUGAGCACUCUGGGGAGACUGCCGGUGUUAAACCGGAGGAAGGUGGGGAUGACGUCAAGUCCUCAUGGCCUUUAUGCC
rnacentral:rRNA from 1 species